CGGUGUCUACUGUUGUGGUCCGUCCCUGUCCAGUGUUCCUGUGGUCUGGUUUUCCCCCGGUCUGUCUGGAGGCUGACGGUCAGAAUUGUAUCCUUGUCCAAGUGGACUUCUGUCUGUCUGUCUGUCUGUCUGUCGGUCUGUCUGUUUGCUGGCCGUGAGUCUCUCUCCCGUCUGUGUCUUGGGUUCCCCACCCAACCUGACUCCCUUCCUUCCAACUCCCUUUCCCUUCAACGACUCCUGGUUCAAAGUGCAUUUGGUCGCCCUGGCUCAACUCGUUGGUGACAUCAUUCCAGAAAGGCAUGUUAGGCAGCCCAAGGGAUCCUGGGUUACGUUAAUUGACGUCAGGCAUGUUGUUGGGCAGCCCAAAGGGGUCCGUUUGCUAUCCGUCAUUGUGACGUCUCCUUACAUUUUGAGGUGAGUUGACAUUUUAUUAAAGAAGAAGCAAUAAGCAGAUGACAAUAUCAGGCACGUUGAGUCUAGUUAAGAAAUGCUAAAGUGUAGGGCUGCAACGUGUCAUUGUUUUUGCCGGCAAGUAUCUUACAGCAUGUCUUCGCAGCCUCCACGCAGAGAUCCUCUGAAGUGUAGCAACCUUGGAAGAACUCUAGCUGAUGCACAUCUGGUAAGUAGAAAUGGACUUCCAAGCCCCAAGAGGAUGAAGGAGAAGAGGUGAGUGGAGCCCUGCCGCUGCUGGUGGCCUUCAUUUUUACACACAGUAGCCUGCUCAACUCCAUCAUCCCAUGAAAUGGCAUUCAGACU